rnacentral:lncRNA from 1 species
AUAACUGUGGGAGAAUAGUAAGCAUUGGACACAAAAUGGUUUAGGCAAAUAAUGAUGAACAAAAAUGGUCAGUCUGUGUUCCUGCUGACCCAGCACAGUGGGGACGCUGUGUAGGACAUGACCUUUGGGGGAAAGGACACAAGAACUCAGCGUGGGGGAUCCAGAAAAGAAGUCGCACGUAUUGAAGCCAGUAACGCCAAGCCAGUGAAUUCUCCUUGACGAGAAAGACCCACUUACUCUGCAGAAGAGAUAUAUGACAGCUGACAAUCCCUGGAGGAGAAUCUUUCUACUAAAUUGUAACUCCAGGUUGAAGAACUUCUACUUAUAGGCAUCUAUUCAACGAAGACGAAUCCUGGAAUGGGGAUGGAAAUGAUGGCUCAUGUCUUAGCAAACUACCAAACUGAUCCGAGAGGACAGGGAAGUCAGUGUGGGCGGCUCUAAGGAGCCUCCCUCUCUACAGCUGCGGCUCAGAGGAUUACGGCGCUUCAUCCACAAGGCAACAUUGCACAAGUAGCUUUUGAACAAAAGUCAUGGAUACUAUUAAUGAUAUGUUCCCACACACAUUUAGUGUCGUCUCAAAAUUCACGCUGUCAACUGUCUCUAGGAAUCAUUUCCAUCUGAGAACAGACCACACAAAGACACAGUGAAACUCAGUUUCUGCAGAAUUUGAUUUCAUUUGAGUUACUGGGGAACAAAGCAAUUAGACAAUGAAUAAUAGCUCAAGACAGGCUGAAGCUGAAGAUUUCUGCAAAAGAAUGAAGAGGAAACGUUUUGAUCCUGAGCAGAUGUUCUCCCUAGAUUGCUUCACCUGAGGUUGAUUGACUUUUGGAAACGAGAUUUGUUCCCAGUGCUUUGUGAGUCUCUUGUUGGAAGGACUGUCUUUAAAUUAAAGCAAUUAGAGUUACUUUAUAAGAUUUACCCAAAUAUAAGAGCUGAAGAGAAUAAUUCAAAUUGAUCAGAAGAAAAUACUCAAUUACUGACAAAUGUCAAUUACAUCAAUAGCCUAGGCUGCUCUUGAACUCCUGGGCUCAAACGAUCCUCCCCUGUCGGCCUCCCAAAGUGCUGGGAUUACAAGCUUGAACCACCAUGCCCAGCCUCAGAAAUUUUUUAAAUGACAGCUCAUACAGUUUUCUUUUAUAAAGGAGGAGAAAAUGUGUAAUUGUAAGCAGCUGAACUAAAAUAUCUCUGUGACAUUUUGCUGGUGACUCCAGCCCUGUGAGAUCUGAGUGGCUCAGGAAUCAAAUUCUCCCACAAACCUGAGGAAGCCUUUUAUUCUUAAUGCCAACAGGAUGCCCCAUGCCCAGAAUGUCAAAUCUGAACACCAAUGGAAUGCAUUUUAUAAACAAAUUGAAAAAGGACAAUCUUUAACAGAAUUGUUGUUCUCUAGGCAGAUUAGUUGUGCUUCAAAUACAAAAUGAAAUAUUAGAGAACAAAAUUAUUUUUAAACAGCUAAUACUAGUAGAAAAUAAAAGGCUGAAAAGUGCUAUAAUGUGUAAAAGGACUAAAA